AGUGUGUCGGAAUCGAAACUAUAAAUAGGUUUCUUGUUUGAAUUUGGAGUAAAGAAGAAGAAAGAGUAGAAAAUGGUGGUCAGAUCGUUCUCUUCUAUCACUAGGAAGAGCAUUCACCUCCUCUUCCACUCUCUUCUCUCUCAACCCCACAAACCCAAAUCCCAUUUUCUCUCUCCUCCAUUCUCUUCUCAUCUCUUCACAACCCACCACCACUCCCACCAUUGCAGACCCUUCUCAUCUCAAUCCCUCUCUGCUCAAUCACUACACCCAGAUUCACAUCCUUCACCAGAACUACUCGUCAACGAGCUCUCUCGCAUUCUCAGCGACUUCCGAAACCCACACCACGACCUCGAGUCCGCCCUCAACUCCUUCUCUCCCCAAAUAUCCACCAAUUUGGUCGAGCAAGUCCUGAAAAGGUGCAAAAACCUUGGCUUCUCCGCCCACAGGUUCUUCCUUUGGGCUCGCCAAUUACCGGGUUUCGAGCCCCGAAAAGAGAGCUAUCAUAUUCUUGUUGAUAUCUUAGGAAGUAGCAGACAAUUCCCAUUGAUUUGGGAUUUUCUUGCCGAGUUGAAAGAGAGUCAGUGUUUUGAAAUUAGCCCGGAAAUUUUCUGGGUUAUUUUCAGGGCAUAUAGUAGAGCUAAUUUACCAGCCGAUGCGAUUCGGGCUUUUAAUAAAAUGGUUGAUUUUGGAAUUCAACCUGGUAAUGAUGACUUUGAUCAGCUAUUGUAUGUUCUUUGCAAAAGGAAGCAUGUGAAGCAUGCCCAAGAGUUCUUUGACAGAGUUAAGUUUGAGGUGGUGCCUAGUGCAAAAACUUAUAGCAUUAUGAUGAAAGGGUGGGGCGACAUUGGUGAAUCUGAUGAGGCACGUAAACUGUUCGAUGAAAUGCUUGAACGAGGAUGUUGUGUUGACUUGCUUGCUUAUAAUAGCAUGUUACAGUCUUUGUGCAAAGGAGGGAAUGUGGAUGAAGCCUAUAGGCUAUUCCGGGAGAUGAGGUCUAAGGGACUUGAACCAGAUGCUUAUACUUAUUCAAUCUUCAUCCAUGCUUCUUGUGAUGCAAAUGAUAUUCAUUCGGCUUUUCGGGUUCUUGAUAGAAUGAGAAGAUAUGAACUUGUGCCAAAUGUAUAUACUUACAAUUGUAUUAUCAAGAGACUUUGUAAGAAUGAUAAGGUGGAAGAGGCUUACCUACUCUUAGAUGAGAUGAUAGAGAGAGGGGCGAGACCGGAUGUAUGGAGUUACAAUGCAAUCCUAGCUUUCCAUUGUGAUCAUAAUGAAGUAAACAAGGCUCUUAGGCUGAUUUCAAGAAUGGACCAAGAUUCAUGUUUGCCGGAUCGGCAUACAUAUAACAUGGCUUUCAAAAUGAUAAUUAGGGUAGGGAGGUUUGAUAGAGUUAAUGUAGUUUGGGAGAGCAUGGAAAAGAGGGGAUUUUAUCCUUCAGCCUCAACAUAUGCUGUGAUGGUCCAUGGCCUUUGUAGGAAGAAAGGAAAACUAGAGGAUGCAUGUAGAUACUUUGAAAUGAUGAUUGAUGAAGGGAUACCACCAUAUUCUUCUACCUGUGAAUUGUUGAGGAACCGACUGAUAGGCUUAGGGUUCUCAGAGCAGACACUGAUACUUUCAGGUAAGAUGGAGAGGAGCACUUCUUGUUCAAUACAAGAGUUGUCUAACAUUAUGAGAGGUGAUAGGCCUAGUGCAAGAUCAAGAAGAGAAGAAGAAAGUUCUGAUGAGAGUGAUUGGGUGAAGAACUAAGUAAUUGUAGUUCGAAGAGAGCUUGUUCAGAUGGUAGUUUUCUCAUCUGAAUAAGAUGGAAAGAAGCACUUCUUGUUCAAUACAAGAGCUGUCUGACAUUAUCAGAGGUGAUAGAGCUGAUGUGAGAUUAAUAAGUGAAGUGGAAAGCUUAGAUGAGAGUGAUGAGUAAUUGCAUGCGAGAAAACGGAUUUAUAGUGUUGGAAGGAUUCUAGAUUGGAAACCUUGUAGAUGGUGGCUUGAAGGACAUCUUAACUGGUUAAUGGAUUUUUCUAUGAAUUUUCUGGAGAAUAUCAAUAAAGAUUGAAUAUAUCUGAAGAAAAUGAGGGUGUUCGGGAAUUUUCAGUAAACUUGAGAAUUUUAGGGUAACUCUGGAAAUAUGAUGUCAAGGAAUCAUGAGUUACUCAGCAAAAGUGAUCCAGGUUUCAUUCCUCUAAUGAAGUAGUUAGGAUUGGAAAUCUUUGUGGAUCCGUCGUGACAUUUGAGUUAGUUUGAGUUAGGCACAACCUAUUUCUACUAUCUGCAGCAGAAAAACGGAAUAGUUGUGUUCUUCGCUCAUCAGAAAAGCAGAAAGCAACUGGGGGUUUGCUGAUUCUGUUGUCCGAGGUAUUUUUAAUGCGUGUUUCUGUUGUAAAUCUUGUAGGUAUCCUCUGUAUGCAACAGUCACGCUUUGUCAAUAUCGUCACAAUGCAUUUAUGCCUCACCAGGGCCUUGGAGAAGAAAGGCUUUGAACUUCUCGAAGCCAUAUCCAAACCCUUUGUCUCACUUCACCUUCAGUUUGAACUUGACAUGGUAGCUCAUAGUCAACGUGAGUAUUCUGGCUUUUCAUACAUGCCAAGUAUUUUGGGAACAUCAAUAGGAUGGUAGCAGCAAUGCGGACAUUCAAGGGGUUGUUUAAAACUCUUAUCUUGAGCAGGAGUACGGCUUUUGCAGAGUUCACUUCUCAGGGGAAGGAGUUGAUGUGAUCUGAUCAUAUGGAUAUCAAUGUUUGAUCAAUGUGAUUAUUUGCAUGAAUGAUAUUCUCAUGCGUCCUACAUGAUAAAUGGUUUGGAUUAUCAAAAUAGGCCAAUAAAUGUAACUGCACAGUCUGGCCCAAUAUAAAUUGGAGAGAAGCUUUCGUCUUUUACGAUGGAAUAAAGAAGCAUCAGCCUCGCAAUUUGUUUAUGCUAGUUUGUAUCUCACUAUAUUCACCCACUUGUUUUGUUGUGAGGCACUAUAAAGAUGACAUGCAAGCAAUCCAUAUUUCAAUUUUCUAUAUUGUAUCCUUGUUUAUUAAGUUGGGCCUAGCUUCCCUCCCGUCCCAGAUCAGAUUGGAGGGUGCUAUUGGGCCCGUGGGAGUCUAUCACGGGUCCUAUUUCGAUAAUCCAAACUAUUCAAUGUG